GGGCCGGUGGCGCAAUGGUAGGGCAUCCUUCAAGUAGAAAAAAGGUUCUAGGUUCGAUUCUUAGCCAGUCCA